GUUUGAUCAUGGCUCAGAUUGAACGCUGGCGGCAUGCCUUACACAUGCAAGUCGAACGGCAGCACGGGAGCAAUCCUGGUGGCGAGUGGCGAACGGGUGAGUAAUAUAUCGGAACGUGCCCAGUCGUGGGGGAUAACGCAGCGAAAGCUGUGCUAAUACCGCAUACGAUCUAUGGAUGAAAGCGGGGGACUCGCAAGAGCCUCGCGCGAUUGGAGCGGCCGAUAUCAGAUUAGCUAGUUGGCGGGGUAAAAGCCCACCAAGGCGACGAUCUGUAGCUGGUCUGAGAGGACGACCAGCCACACUGGAACUGAGACACGGUCCAGACUCCUACGGGAGGCAGCAGUGGGGAAUUUUGGACAAUGGGCGAAAGCCUGAUCCAGCAAUGCCGCGUGCAGGAUGAAGGCCUUCGGGUUGUAAACUGCUUUUGUACGGAACGAAACGGUCUGUCCUAAUACGAUGGGCUAAUGACGGUACCGUAAGAAUAAGCACCGGCUAACUACGUGCCAGCAGCCGCGGUAAUACGUAGGGUGCGAGCGUUAAUCGGAAUUACUGGGCGUAAAGCGUGCGCAGGCGGUUAUGUAAGACAGAUGUGAAAUCCCCGGGCUCAACCUGGGACCUGCAUUUGUGACUGCAUAGCUAGAGUACGGUAGAGGGGGAUGGAAUUCCGCGUGUAGCAGUGAAAUGCGUAGAUAUGCGGAGGAACACCGAUGGCGAAGGCAAUCCCCUGGACCUGUACUGACGCUCAUGCACGAAAGCGUGGGGAGCAAACAGGAUUAGAUACCCUGGUAGUCCACGCCCUAAACGAUGUCAACUGGUUGUUGGGUCUUCACUGACUCAGUAACGAAGCUAACGCGUGAAGUUGA
rnacentral:rRNA from 1 species